rnacentral:rRNA from 1 species
CCUACGGGUGGCAGCAGUGGGGAAUAUUGCACAAUGGGGGGAACCCUGAUGCAGCGACGCCGCGUGAGUGAAGAAGUAUUUCGGUAUGGAAAGCUCUAUCAGCAGGGAAGAAAAUGACGGUACCUGACUAAGAAGCCCCGGCUACCUACGUGCCAGCAGCCGCGGUAAUACGUCGGGGGCGAGCGUUGUCCGGAAUGCCUGGGCGUAAAGGGAGUGUAGGCGGCAUAUUAAGUUAUGUGGGAAAGCCCGCGGCUCAACCGCGGAAUUGCACAUAAAACUGGUAAGCUUGAGUGCAGGAGAGGUAAGUGGAAUUCGCGGUGUAGCGGUGUAAUGCGUAGAUAGCGGGAGGAACACCGGAGGCGAAGGCGACUUACUGGACUGUAACUGACGCUGAGGCUCGAAAGCGUGGGGAGCAAACAGGAUUAGAUACCCGAGUAGUC